GACCAGACUCCUACGGGAGGCAGCAGUGGGGAAUAUUGCGCAAUGGGGGAAACCCUGACGCAGCAACGCCGCGUGAGUGAAGAAGUAUCUCGGUAUGUAAAGCUCUAUCAGCGGGGAAGAAGGAAGACGGUACCCGACUAAGAAGCCCCGACUAACUACGUGCCAGCAGCCGCGGUAAUACGUAGGGGGCGAGCGUUAUCCGGAUUUACUGGGUGUAAAGGGAGCGUAGACGGCGUCGCAAGUCUGAAGUGAAAGCCCGUGGCUCAACCGCGGAACCGCUUUGGAAACUGCGAGGCUGGAGUGCUGGAGAGGUAAGCGGAAUUCCUGGUGUAGCGGUGAAAUGCGUAGAUAUCAGGAGGAACACCGGCGGCGAAGGCGGCCUGCUGGACCGUGACUGACGUUGAGGCUCGAGAGCGUGGGGAGCAAACAGGAUUAGAUACCCUUGUAA
rnacentral:rRNA from 1 species